AGAGAGAUCUGACGGUACUUGAUGAUAGCACGGCUAUUCGUGCCAGCAGCCGCGGUAUACGGGAGUGGCAAGCGCUAUCCGAAUUAUUGGGCGUAAAGCGUCCGCAGGCGCCCUUCAAGUCUGCUGUUAAAAAGUGGAGCUUAACUCCAUCAUGGCAGUGGAAACUGUUGGGCUUGAGUGUGGUAGGGGCAGAGGGAAUUCCCGGUGCAGCGGUGAAAUGCGUAGAUAUCGGGAAGAACACCAGUGGCGAAGGCGCUCUGCUGGGCCAUCACUGACGCUCAUGGACGAAAGCCAGGGGAGCGAAAGGGAUUAGAUACCCCUGUAGUCCUGGCCGUAAACGAUGAACACUAGGUGUCGGGGGAAUCGACCCCCUCGGUGUCGUAGCCAACGCGUUAAGUGUUCCGCCUGGGGAGUACGCACGCAAGUGUGAAACUCAAAGGAAUUGACGGGGGCCCGCACAAGCGGUGGAGUAUGUGGUUUAAUUCGAUGCAACGCGAAGAACCUUACCAGGGUUUGACAUCCUGCGAAUCUCUUGGAAACAGGAGAGUGCCUUCGGGAACGCAGUGACAGGUGGUGCAUGGCUGUCGUCAGCUCGUGUCGUGAGAUGUUGGGUUAAGUCCCGCAACGAGCGCAACCCACGUCUUUAGUUGCCAGCAUUUAGUUGGGCACUCUAGAGAGACUGCCGGUGAUAAACCGGAGGAAGGUGUGGAUGACGUCAAGUCAUCAUGCCCCUUACAUCCUGGGCUACACACGUACUACAAUGCUACGGACAAAGGGCAGCAAGUUCGCGAGGACAAGCAAAUCCCAUAAACCGUGGCUCAGUUCAGAUCGUAGGCUGCAACUCGCCUACGUGAAGGCGGAAUCGCUAGUAAUCGCAGGUCAGCAUACUGCGGUGAAUACGUUCCCGGGCCUUGUACACACCGCCCGUCACACCAUGGAAGUUGGCCACGCCCGAAGCCGUUACUCCAACCCUUGUGGAGGAGGA
rnacentral:rRNA from 1 species